AUCUUUAAUUAUGUUAAAGCGCCUUACCUUAGAGUUUCCUCUGGGGUAAGUGUUUGCUUCUACACUGUGAAAAUUUGGCUGAGAGACUUAGACUGGUCAUGGGUAGACCUAUUUGGGGUUUGAUCGAUGGCACUCCUGGUUUCAGGAGCACCCUUCAUAAUAAACCUAGAAAUUCAGUAUUAUAAUGUUUAAUAAAAAACAACUUUUAACAAUGGAUCUCUUGGUUCUUGCAUCGAUGAAGAACGUAGCAAAGUGCGAUAACUAGUGUGAAUUGCAUAUUCAGUGAAUCAUCGAGUCUUUGAACGCAGCUUGCUCUCUAUGGUUUUUCUAUAGAGUACGCCUGCUUCAGUAUCAUCACAAACCCACACAUAACAUUUGUUUAUGUGGUGAUGGGUCGCAUCGCUGUUUUAUUACAGUGAGCACCUAAAAUGUGUGUGAUUUUCUGACUGGCUUGCUAGGCAGGAAUAUUACGCUGGUCUCAGGAUCUUUUUUUUUGGUUCGCCCAGGAAGUAAAGUACAAGAGUAUAAUCCAGU
rnacentral:misc_RNA from 1 species